GACGUAGGGCGCGAGCGUUGUCCGGAUUUAUUGGGCGUAAAGAGCUCGUAGGCGGUCUGUUGCGUCAGGAGUGAAAACUCGGGGCUUAACCCCGAGCCUGCUUCUGAUACGGACAGACUAGAGGUAUGCAGGGGAGAACGGAAUUCCUGGUGUAGCGGUGAAAUGCGCAGAUAUCAGGAGGAACACCGGUGGCGAAGGCGGUUCUCUGGGCAUUACCUGACGCUGAGGAGCGAAAGUGUGGGGAGCGAACAGG
rnacentral:rRNA from 1 species